GACAGAGGGUGCAAACGUUGUUCGGAAUUACUGGGCGUAAAGCGCGUGUAGGCGGUUCGUAAAGUCGGGUGUGAAAGCCCUGGGCUUAACCCAGGAAGUGCACUCGAAACUCACGAACUUGAGUCCCGGAGAGGAAGGCGGAAUUCUCGGUGUAGAGGUGAAAUUCGUAGAUAUCGAGAGGAACAUCGGUGGCGAAGGCGGCCUUCUGGACGGUGACUGACGCUGAGACGCGAAAGCGUGGGGAGCGAACAGG
rnacentral:rRNA from 1 species